AUUGAACGCUGGCGGCAGGCCUAACACAUGCAAGUCGAGCGGCAGCGGAAAGUAGCUUGCUACUUUGCCGGCGAGCGGCGGACGGGUGAGUAAUGUCUGGGAAACUGCCUGAUGGAGGGGGAUAACUACUGGAAACGGUAGCUAAUACCGCAUAACGUCGCAAGACCAAAGAGGGGGACCUUCGGGCCUCUUGCCAUCAGAUGUGCCCAGAUGGGAUUAGCUAGUAGGUGGGGUAACGGCUCACCUAGGCGACGAUCCCUAGCUGGUCUGAGAGGAUGACCAGCCACACUGGAACUGGGACACGGUACAGACUCCUACGGGAGGCAGCAGUGGGGAAUAUUGCACGAUGGGCGCAAGCCUGAUGCAGCCAUGCCGCGUGUAUGAAGAAGGCCUUCGGGUUGUAAAGUACUUUCAGCGGGGAGGAAGGUGUUAAGGUUAAUAACCUCAGCAAUUGACGUUACCCGCAGAAGAAGCACCGGCUAACUCCGUGCCAGCCGCCGGAGUAAGAC
rnacentral:rRNA from 1 species